rnacentral:rRNA from 1 species
CACGUAGGCGGGAACUUAAGUCAGGUGUGAAAGACCGAGGCUCAACCUCGGGUGUGCACUUGAAACUGGGUUUCUUGAGGGCAGGAGAGGAAAGCAGAAUUCCUGGUGUAGCGGUGAAAUGCGUAGAAAUCAGGAGGAAUACCAGUGGCGAAGGCGGCUUUCUGGACUGACCCUGACGCUGAGGUGCGAAAGCGUGGGUAGCAAACAG